rnacentral:rRNA from 1 species
UACGGAGGAUCCAAGCGUUAUCCGGAUUUAUUGGGUUUAAAGGGUGCGUAGGCGGCCCGGUAAGUUAGAGGUGAAAGCCCGUGGCUCAACCACGGAAUUGCCUCUGAUACUGUCGGGCUAGAGAAUAGUUGCUGUGGGCGGAAUGUGUAGUGUAGCGGUGAAAUGCUUAGAGAUUACACAGAACACCGAUUGCGAAGGCAGCUCACAAAGCUAUUUCUGACGCUGAGGCACGAAAGCGUGGGGAGCAAACAGG